rnacentral:rRNA from 1 species
UACGGAGGGGGCGAGCGUUAUUCGGAAUCAUUGGGCGUAAAGGGCGCGUAGGCGGCCCGCCGCGUCCGGGGUGAAAUCCUCCCGCUCAACGGGAGGACGGCCUCGGAUACGGGCGGGCUGGAGGGGGGUAGGGGCACGCGGAACUGUGGGUGGAGCGGUGAAAUGCGUUGAGAUCCACAGGAACUCCGGUGGCGAAGGCGGCGUGCUGGACCCCACCUGACGCUGAGGCGCGAAAGCCAGGGGAGCGAACGGG